UACGGAGGGUGCAAGCGUUAUCCGGAUUCACUGGGUUUAAAGGGUGCGUAGGUGGGUUUGUAAGUCAGCGGUGAAAUCUCCGGGCUUAACUCGGAAACUGCCAUUGAUACUAUAGAUCUUGAAUUUUCUGGAGGUAAGCGGAAUAUGUCAUGGUAGCGGUGAAAUGCUUAGAUAAUGACAUAGAACACCAAUUGCGAAGGCAGCUUGCUACAGGAAUAUUGACA
rnacentral:rRNA from 1 species